rnacentral:misc_RNA from 1 species
AAGUGUUGGUGUUCAUGCUUGUCGACGUGCCAACAUUGGUCCCGAAACAAAUGUUUUGGUCAUGGGUGCUGGACCAAUUGGGCUUGUCACUAUGAUGGCUGCACGUGCAUUUGGUGCACCACGGAUUGUCAUUGUCGAUGUGGAUGACUAUCGAUUGUCUGUUGCAAAGGAUCUUGGAGCAGAUGAAGUUGUUAAAGUUUCAGUUGACAUUCAGGAUGUAGAUCAAGAUGUUGCUCAGAUACAAAAAGCCAUGGAAACUGAGGUAGAUGUGAGUUUCGACUGUGCUGGCUUCAACAAGACAAUGUCAACAGCCUUAAGCGCCACCCGAGCUGGUGGCAAAGUUUGUCUCGUUGGAAUGGGUCACAAUGAGAUGACUGUUCCACUAACUCCAGCUGCAGCAAGGGAAGUCGAUGUCAUUGGCGUGUUUCGGUACAAAAACACGUGGCCUCUGUGCUUGGAGUUUAUAAGAAGUGGUAAGAUCAAUGUGAAGCCGCUUAUAACACACAGAUUUGGUUUCUCACAGAAGGAGGUAGAGGACGCCUUUGAAACCAGUGCUCGUGGUGGUAAUGCUAUUAAGGUCAUGUUCAACUUAUGAACUCUCAUUCUUUGAGAGACGGACACAAAAUACUGUAUUGUGCAUGUCUUAGAUCAAUUGUCCUCAAGAGAAAAAAAAAAUAAU